rnacentral:lncRNA from 1 species
GUACACCUCAGAAACAAAGGAAAGGAAGGGAAAUAUCUCCAAAGAUCUGCUAGCCCGUGCGAAGGAGGAUAAAAAAGCAAGGACAAAAAUCAGAGGAGAUCAAGAUUGCUAAGAAUCCGGUUGACAUAUUUAUCAAAGCAGUGAAGAUCUGUUCAUUGAAAGAAGAUUUUUGAUAUCAAAGGAUAAAUUAAGUGUUAUUCGUUAAAAUAAGAAUUUGCUUAUUAUGGAAGGAUCUAUCAAGUCUGCCAGUAAAGAUACAAACCACGGAAGCUCCACAUUUAAUUCUUCGAAAGAAUCAUCUCACGAUUCAUUCAAGGGAUUAAUUCCUUUUGGUUUGCAAUCUUUCAAGAUCUUCCACAAUCAAGAAUAAAAGCAGAUCAUCGAGGUGUAUAUAUAGUGAAACAUCCUAGAAAAGAGACACACUUUAAUCAAACUCACUUCGUGCUCUAUUUUCUACUC